AUUUGUAUUGCGCGGCCAAUUGCCCCCUGGCGAUGCCAUAAUACAUUGCAUUUGCACAUAAUGCAAUGUAUUAUGGUAUCGCCAGGGGGCAAUUGGCCGCGCAAAACAAAA
rnacentral:miRNA from 1 species